GGCUCAGCUGGGUCUUUGGGAGUGGAAGAGUUAAUAAGAAGGAGGUUCAUCUACCUGAGGACAAAGACUGAUCUAUUCUUCCAACUCUGCACAGAUGGGUUAACAAAACUGAGCCCAAGGCUGAGAACAAGUGUGUACAACCACCUCCACGAAUGGGGACAUAUGGAUAUCAGGAGGUCACUGGCAGUGUCCCCAAAG